rnacentral:lncRNA from 1 species
AGGCAUUCAGGCAGCGAGAGCAGAGCAGCGUAGAGCAGCACAGCUGAGCUCGUGAGGCAGGAGACUCAGCCCGAGGAAAUCGCAGAUAAGUUUUUAAUUAAAAAGAUUGAGCAGUAAAAAGAAUUAGAACUCUAAACUUAAGCUAAUAGAGUAGCUUAUCGAAAUAUUACUUAGUCUUAAUAAUCUAAGAAGAUCUUAAGAGAUAACAUGAAGGCUUAUUUAAACAGUUUGAAAAAGGAAAUGAGGAGAAAAGUAUUUGUACUGUAUAAUGGAGGCUGACCAGAGCAGUUUAGGAGAUUGUAAAGGGAGGUUUUGUGAAGUUCUAAAAGGUUCUAGUUUGAAGGUCGGCCUUGUAGAUUAAAACGAAGGUUACCUAAAUAGAAUCUAAGUGGCAUUUAAAACAGUAAAGUUGUAGAGAAUAGUUUGAAAAUGAGGUGUAGUUUUAAAAGAUUGAGAAAAGUAGGUUAAGUUGACGGCCGUUAUAAAAAUCCUUCGACUGGCGCAUGUACGUUUGAAGGCAUGAGUUGGAAACAGGGAAGAUGGAAGUGUUAGGCUAGCCGGGCGAUGGUGGCGCACGCCUUUAAUCCUAGCACUUGGGAGGCAGAGGCAGGCGGAUUUCUGAGUUCGAGGCCAGCCUGGUCUACAGAGUGAGUUCCAGGACAGCCAGGGCUACACAGAGAAACCCUGUCUUGAAAAAACAAAAAGGUUAGGCUAGUAUUUGGAGAAAGAAGAUUAGAAAAUGGAAGUGAAAGACGAAGAAGACAUACAGGAAGGUGAAGAAAAAGCUGUUAGAGAAGAUAGGAAAAUAGAAGACAAAGCAUCUUUAGAAGACAGAAAAGCUGACCCAGGUCUACACAGAAGUGCAUUCAGUGAACUAGGAAGACAGGAGCGGCAGACAGGAGUCCCGAAGCCAGUUUGGUGAAGCUAGGAAGGACUGAGGAGCCAGCAGCAGCAGUGCAUGGUGAAGAUAGCCCAGGAAAGAGUGCGGUUCGGUGGAGGAAGCUAGGAAGAAGGAGCCAUACGGAUGUGGUGGUGAAGCUGGGAAAGGGUUCCAGGAUGGUGGAGCGAGAGCGAGUUGGUGAUGAAGCUAGCUGGCGGCUUGGCUUGUCAACUGCGCGGAGGAGGCGAGCAGGCAUUGUGGAGAGGAUAGAUAGCGGCUCCUAGACCAGCAUGCCAGUGUGCAAGAAAGGCUGCAGGGAGAGCAUGCGGUGCGGUAACAUUCCUUGAGGUCGGCAACAUGGUGGUGGUUUUCUGUAACUUGGAUGGUAACUUGUUUACUUUGUCUUAAUAGUUAUGGGGGAGUUGUAGGCUUCUGUGUAAAGAGAUAUAUCUGGGGCUGUAUGUAGGCCUUUGCGGGUGUUGUAGGUUUUUCUUUUUCAGGGUUAUGUCCUCUUGCAUCUUGUCAGAAGCUUUUGAGGGCUGACUGCCAAGGCCCAGAAAGAAGAAUGGUAGAUGGCAAGUUGUCUUUAACCGCUCAGAGGGGAAUGAAUGGUAGAGCCAGCACAACCUCCCAGUUUUGUAAGACGUUGUAGUUUGAACAGAUGACCUACCACAAGCCUCACUCCUGUGUAGGGGAGGUAAUUGGGCAAAGUGCUUUUGGGGGAAUGGGGGCAAAAUAUAUUUUGAGUUCUUUUCCCCUUAGGUCUGUCUAGAAUCCUAAAGGCAGAUGACUCAAGGGAACCAGAAAAAA